CGGAGGCAGCAGUGGGGAAUUUUGGACAAUGGGGGCAACCCUGAUCCAGCCAUGCCGCGUGCGGGAAGAAGGCCUUCGGGUUGUAAACCGCUUUUAGCCGGGACGAAAGGGGCACGGAUAACACCCGUGUCUGUUGACGGUACCGGCGGAAUAAGCACCGGCUAACUACGUGCCAGCAGCCGCGGUAAUACGUAGGGUGCGAGCGUUAAUCGGAAUUACUGGGCGUAAAGCGUGCGCAGGCGGUUCGUUGUGUCGGCGGUGAAAGCCCCGGGCUUAACCUGGGAAUGGCCGUUGAAACUGGCGAACUGGAGUGUGGCAGAGGGGGGUGGAAUUCCGCGUGUAGCAGUGAAAUGCGUAGAGAUGCGGAGGAACACCGAUGGCGAAGGCAGCCCCCUGGGCUAACACUGACGCUCAGGCACGAAAGCGUGGGGAGCAAACAGGAUUAGAUACCCGGGUAGUCC
rnacentral:rRNA from 1 species